rnacentral:rRNA from 1 species
CCUGAUCCAGCCAUUCCGCGUGAGUGAAGAAGGCCUUCGGGUUGUAAAGCUCUUUCGGCAGGACGAAACGGCCGUUUCUAAUAAAGACGGCUAAUGACGGUACCUGAAGAAGAAGCACCGGCUAACUACGUGCCAGCAGCCGCGGUAAUACGUAGGGUGCGAGCGUUAAUCGGAAUUACUGGGCGUAAAGCGUGCGCAGGUGGUUGUUUAAGACAGAUGUGAAAUCCCCGGGCUUAACCUGGGAACUGCGUUUGUGACUGGACAGCUAGAGUGCGGCAGAGGGGGGUGGAAUUCCACGUGUAGCAGUGAAAUGCGUAGAGAUGUGGAGGAACACCGAUGGCGAAGGCAGCCCCCUGGGCCAGCACUGACGCUCAUGCACGAAAGCGUGGGGAGCAAACAGGAUUAGAUACCCUGGUAGUCCACGCCCUAAACGAUGUCAACUAGGUGUUGGGGAAGGAGACUUUCUUUAGUACCGCAGCUAACGCGUGAAGUUGACCGCCUGGGGAGUACGGUCGCAAGAUUAAAACUCAAAGGAAUUGACGGGGAC